ACUUUUAUUUGCCAAAGUUAACAAACAGCAGCAUCAGAACCUAUCUCUGAACAGUUUGAGACUUUAGCCUCUCCAUUCCGUCUGUUGGAUGGCAUGGAUCCACUCCACUGCCUUCUGAGCCAAAGCCUGCAGCCUUUCUACUGGGUUUAUUUAGUGAUGCCUUUUAUUUCAAGGAGAAGUAUGAACUGAGUAAAAGUUGAGGGAGAACUGAUGGAUUCACCCCAGAGACAGUAGAAGGAUGUUCUUCACUUCUCAUACUUCUUUAAGAGUGACGGGACAGGCUGCCCUGUGUGGAUCCUGUUUGCAGAGGAACACAACCUCCAGAAAAUGGAGGUGCAUUUCUGAGGGGCAAAUCAGGGGAAAUCCACUGCCAGUGACUCUACAGACUAAAAGGCAAGUUAGCUGUGCAGAUACCAGGGUAUCAAAGGGCCUGUAGGACAUGAGGCAUUGGUGGAAAUUGGAAUGAAGUGUUUUGUUUGUCAUCUCUAUGGACACGAGGCCACAAAGCACCAGGAAGAGAAGCUGACCAUGGAAUCUCUGGAGCUGGAAAUGCCACAGACUCAGUGCCUUGUUUCUGUAGCUGCCACGAGUUACACUGCUCAAAGACCUUUCCCUUAUGUCCCUGGCUAAUUUUUCCUGGUUAAAAACGAUUGAAGGAUUGUACUCAUUGACUGUUACACAUCAGAGACUGAUCUGUGGCUGCAUUAACUGACUGUGUUCCCAUAGAUCUUUGUAUUCCUGCACAUUCUGAGAGCUGCUACUCCAAAGUGAAGCCAACUUUUCCUUAUCAUCCCUAUUUUUAAAGCAUGGGCUCAUUGAUCUGGCAGAUUUCAUUUCAGUGCUCUGAGGUUUAGAGAGGCUGUUUCUAAUACAAAGCCUUAUUGCCACCCCCCUGCUAUACAUGUUUCACUUGAACUUUUCAUAAGUACUGCAGAACUUGAGGGAAGUAAGCAAAGCGUAGGUGGUGCUGAAGUCCAAUACUUUGGUCAUGAUCCGUUUCUGCAGACAAGCUGCUUCAUUCCCGUCUAUAGAGGGAAUCUAUUUCCACCUAUAAUCUCCUAUUGAAAGCAAUUAUUUGAUAUCACAAACUUUUUAAACACAUCUGAA